rnacentral:rRNA from 1 species
GUCUACAGCCAUACCAUCCUGAACGUGCCCGAUCUCGUCUGAUCUCGGAAGCUAAGCAGGGUUGGGCCUGGUUAGUACUUGGAUCGGAGACUACUCAUGUGUUUACUUGCUUUCAUAGCUA